rnacentral:rRNA from 1 species
CCAAUAGCGUAUAUUAAAGUUGUUGCAGUUAAAAAGCUCGUAGUUGAAUUUCGGGAUCAGUAUGUUGGUCGUGCUUCGGUACGUACUGUCAUUACUGGUUUCUACCUUCUGAAGAACCAUGAUGUCAUUAAUUUGGUGUCAUGGGGAAUCAGGACUGUUACUUUGAAAAAAUUAGAGUGUUUAAAGCAGGCUCGCGCUUGAAUACAUUAGCAUGGAAUAAUGAAAUAGGACGUUUGAUUCUAUUUUGUUGGUUUCUAGGAUCGACGUAAUGAUUAAUAGGGAUAGUUGGGGGCAUUAGUAUUCAACUGUCAGAGGUGAAAUUCUUGGAUUUAUUGAAGACUAACUACUGCGAAAGCAUUUGCCAAGGAUGUUUUCAUUAAUCAAGAACGAAAGUUAGGGGAUCGAAGACGAUCAGAUACCGUCGUAGUCUUAACCAUAAACUAUGCCGACUAGGGAUCGGAUGAUGUUAUUUUUAAUGACUCAUUCGGCGCCUUACG